UUCCCCCCCCUUCCCAUGAUGCAUCGCGGCGAGCGGCCGCAGGACAGCCGUGACGAGCGACUCCAUCCGGGUCCUGGGCGCCGCUCCGGGUCAGCCUGCAGCAGGCUUCAACAGUUUUGACCAAAAACGUUUGAGGCUUUGACACUGUUGCUACGACCUGCAGGUAUUGACAGCCGUGACUCGGAUUUAAAACAGACCUGGUGGAAUUUGAGAUUACAUCUAUGGAAGAUUUGAGAUUACAUCUACGUAAUUUAACUCACAUUUUUAAAAGAGAAUUGAGUUUUAGAUACCUUUCUUGCUCUGCAUCUUGCUGUCUAUCCAGAGGUGAAGUUUUGAGAGCCCCUAAUGGUUGGUAUAAUUUUAAAAAAGUCUGAGGUCAAAGUCUUUCUAAGUAACUUGUUGCAUGAAGCAAGGGGAAGCUUUCUCUGUGGUAAACUGUUAUGUAUAAUAUAGAUGCUGUCUUGCAGCUAACUUGUCUCUGGUAAAACAACAUUUCCUCUACAUCUGAACUAAGAAGAUGCCUGCACUGUGGGAUGAGGUAGUAGGUUGUAUAGUUUUAGGGUCAUACCCACAACUGGGAGAUAACUAUACAAUCUACUGUCUUUCCUAAAGCAGCAGAAAAUCAGCAAUGUCAGAUCUUUCACUUUAAAAGCUUAUUGUCCAGUUCUUCAGAUCUUCUCUAGUUCAAAGGGCUUCUGGGCAGAGGAAAUACAUUUCUGUAGCAUAGCAGAGUUGAUAUGUAUGUCUGAAUUUGUUUAUCCCUGGAAAGUCAGUUUCUUUACCAUUCUGAUUUUCAAGUUAAAUUUUUUAAAAUUCUCUUCAGGGGAUCAGCACAGGUAUGGAAGAAUAGAUUUCAUUCUAACUGUAUAUUGCAUGGGGUCAUUUAAAAACUAAAGUUGUUUAAUUUCUAAUUAAGCAAAAUACUAGUGGUGGUAUUUGGUGCCAUUAAGAUAAAACUUGUUCAGAGUUGAAUAGCUGUGCAGCUAAGCUAUAUUUCCUGAAACUAGGACUGUUGCGUACAAAUUUCUCUAGCGGAGUGAGGUAGUAGAUUGUAUAGUUGUAGGGUAGUUAUUUUACCCUGUUCAGGAGAUAACUAUACAAUCUAUUGCCUUCCCCGAGGAGUAAAAAAAAAUCUGCAGUUCCUUUGCAUGCUAGCUGAGCAUCCUGAGUUUACAGUUGGUGAGUGGACUUUCACUCAAGCCUGUACAAUAUCAGGUGAUUAAGUGGCUGGAUUUACAGCACUAAAUGCUAAUGUGGCACACACUAACAUUGCAUUUGGCUACUAUGCUGAAUUUUUUUCAAAGGUGAGUGAUAUAUUGCUGAUUUUUAUAUACAAAUGGUCUUUCAAGUGUGUUCUGUUGCAUUACUAAUCUUGACUUCAAUUGGUCAGACAGCUACACAAGUUUUGAAAUUCAUGGCUGCCCUGACAGCAUGUAGCCCAAGUAGCCAGUGAACUGAUUUGGGAGAAAAUGGCUUCAGCAGUACUAUCCUGUGUAAACACUUCUGUCUCCCUCCACUUCUCCUCCCCCCCAAUGGUAGGAAGUGAAAUUAAGUUAGUGGUUCUCCACUUUUUCUUUGCACCUUACUAAAUGGGAGGGUAAUCCCAAACAGUGUAGGAUGGCUAUGAUCCCCUGAUGCUUGUUUUAAGCUUCUUGGGGGGUUAUGAGCCCCAGAAGGUUUUCUUUACCCAAUAAAUCUGAGCUGGUUACAUUUUAUUUAUUUUUUUAAAUGGCAUAGGCUCAAACUUGUUUUCUCAUUGCCUAAAAUGGUUAAACCCUGACUAGUUUGUUGUGUGGGAGAAGGAGCUACCUGAUAAGUGAUCAUUUUAGAGGCUGUUCUGACUGAACAAGUGGUAAUUAAGGUAAAACUGAAGCAGUAUAUCAGUCAUCGGGGUUUUUAGUCUAGAGACAACUUUUGUAACUGAUCUACCAUUCCUGACUUAAACAAUAUUACCAAAUAUAGUGAAAUAAAGCUGAAGUUACCUGGAAGUAUAAAUGAAUGUAAAAUGUCACAAUAUAUGCAUGUCUGAAACAAAGUCAAAAGAAACUGCAAUAAAAGUUAACAGCUGAUUUCACAGUGCAGCUGCUAAAUAGAAGAACUGCAGAAGAAACAGUGGGCUCCUAGGAAGAGGUAGUAGGUUGCAUAGUUUUAGGGCAGGGAUUUUGCUCACAAGGAGUUAACUAUACAACCUGCUGCCUUUCUUAGGGCUUUAUUAUUACAACAGGACCAUUUUGGCUCAGUCUAAACUUCUGCAGCUUUGAUAUGUGAAGAAAAAAAACGGUAUAAGCCAAACCAAUAUUUGAUCAUAUUAAGUUUUAAUGAAACUAAGUGUGGCAGCAACAGACUCAUUCUGACAACCCAUGUACAGUACUAACCGCAAGGUUGCAGCAGUAUAGUGCUGCUUUUGAGGACAAACAGAACGCACCAUUUGCUCCUUUAGUAAAAGUGAGUGGUGUAAUAUGGUAAAAUAGUCUCUCACCUUCCUUUCAAGAUUAGGCUAAGAUUUUCCAGCACUGAAUAAGAGUUAAAGUAUAUUGUUAAUUCAAGUGACUUUUAAUGAUCUUAUUAGAAGUGAGGGAUAGACCUCUUCUCUUAAAGUACUCAGUGCUUAUGAAAGUCUCAAGUUCCUAAUGACAACUCAAAUGUCCUAUUUUUCUAGAGGAGUAAACAUCUAAAAUAGUUAAGAGUUUUAAAGCUUGAUUUUAUUGAUCAUGGGUAUGUGGGAUAUUUUUAAGGGAAGACUUGCAACCAGCUUAAAAACAAACAAUGUUGAAUGAAUCACAAGCAGUGGAAGGAAGUAUAGUGGUCCUUUCCUGUAGAUGUGUGAAAGUACAAACUCUUCCAUGAUUACACCAUUGCAAUGUAAAUUUAUAGCUGAGUUAUGUACUUUUUGCAAGACUUCACACUGGUCUAAAUCUUGCAGGUGUGGAAAAGAUGUCCCCUGCUAUAUUACUUAGGGGUAGUCAGUACUUAAGUCUGUACUUUUUAAAGAAGUUUACAGCAUAUCAUCCAUCUUCUGGAUAAAACACCAUGCCAGGAGAUGUUGCACUGAACCACACUAUAUUGACAGAACCAGGUUCAAGAAUUGUUUCCUCCUUGUAUUUUAAUUUACGUAUGUAUUGAGUAUUUUCCAUGUGACUAAUUGUACUUUGUUGCAGAUCCAAUAAAUUUUAAACUGUU